CGGACGGGUGAGUAAUGUCUGGGAAACUGCCCGAUGGAGGGGGAUAACUACUGGAAACGGUAGCUAAUACCGCAUAACGUCGCAAGACCAAGAGGGGGACCUCGGGCCUCUUGCCAUCGGAUGUGCCCAGAUGGGAUUAGCUAGUAGGUGGGGUAACGGCUCACCUAGGCGACGAUCCCUAGCUGGUCUGAGAGGAUGACCAGCCACACUGGAACUGAGACACGGUCCAG
rnacentral:rRNA from 1 species